rnacentral:rRNA from 1 species
UACGGAGGGUGCAAGCGUUAUCCGGAUUCACUGGGUUUAAAGGGUGCGUAGGUGGGCAGGUAAGUCAGUGGUGAAAUCUCCGGGCUUAACUCGGAAACUGCCAUUGAUACUAUCUGUCUUGAAUACCGUGGAGGUUAGCGGAAUAUGUCAUGUAGCGGUGAAAUGCUUAGAUAUGACAUAGAACACCAAUUGCGAAGGCAGCUGGCUACACGAAUAUUGACACUGAUGCACGAAAGCGUGGGGAGCAAACCGG